ACGGCUCAGUAACACGUGGAUAAUCUGCCCUCAGGUGAGGAAUAAUCCCGGGAAACUGGGGCUAAUACCUCAUAGGAGACAGGUGCUGGAAUGCUCUGUCUCCCAAAGGUCCGCCGCCUGAGGAUGAGUCUGCGUCCGAUUAGGUUGUUGUUGGGGUAACGGCCCAACAAGCCAUUGAUCGGUACGGGUUGUGGGAGCAAGAGCCCGGAGAUGGAUUCUGAGACAUGAAUCCAGGCCCUACGGGGCGCAGCAGGCGCGAAAACUUUACAAUGCGAGCAAUCGUGAUAAGGAAACCCUGAGUGCCUGUCAAUGCAGGCUGUUCUGGUGUCUAACACACACCAGGAGAAAGGGCGGGGCAAGACCGGUGCCAGCCGCCGCGGUAAUACCGGCUGCUCGAGUGAUAGCCGCUUUUACUGGGCUUAAAGCGUUCGUAGCUUGGUCGUUAACUCUCUGGGGAAAUCUUUUGGCUUAACCAAAAGGCGUCUCAGGGAAAGUGGCGAUCUUGGAACCGGGAGAGGUAAGACGUACUUCGGGGGUAGGAGUGAAAUCUUGUAAUCCCCGAGGGACGACCGAUGGCGAAGGCAUCUUACCAGAACGGCUUCGACAGUGAGGGACGAAAGCUGGGGGAGCAAACCGGAUUAGAUACCCGGGUAGUCCCAGCCGUAAACGAUGUGCGUUAGGUGUGUCAGCGACCACGAGUCGCUGAGUGCCGAAGGGAACCGUGAACGCACCGCCUGGGAAGUACGGUCGCAAGGCUGAAACUUAAAGGAAUUGGCGGGGAGCAC
rnacentral:rRNA from 1 species